UGAUGAUUCUCAAAUGUGGUUCCAUACUAGCACAAAUUACCAAAUUUCUGGCAACUUGCUAAAAUUAAAAUUACUUCAUCUUACCCCGAACUUCAGAAACAGAAAUUGAUGGAAGGGCCUCACAAUCACUUUUAAAAGCCCUCCAGAUGAUUCUGAAGGAUGCUAAAAAGUUAAGAACCACCGCAAUAGUGAUAUGAUUUGGCUUUGUGUCCCCACCCAAAUCUCAUGUUGAUUUGUAAUCCCCAGUGUUGGAGGAAGGAACGGAGGGAAGAUGAUUGGAUCAUGGAGGCAGAUUUGCCCCUGCUGUUCUUGUGAUAUCAACAAAAAAGCUAUGUGCAGGCAGGCCAAUGGCCUUGAGUCAGCUGCUCGGAGAGACCCUCUGGCAGUGGAGGACUGACACCCACUACUACAGCUUAUCCUGCUCUGUCUUUUCUCUAUUAUUAUGUAGAACUCCACAGGCAACCAAAUACCAGUAUAAAAGACCAACAGCUAUUGGCAGAGGUUUCCAAGAUGAAGUAGACAUAAAGAGAUUUUACGUCCUCAAGUGGUUUAUAAAACAUAAGUGGAUAUGAGACACACAUAUCAGCAACUGUCAAAGGAUGGAGAAUGAGGGCCUUUGAUUUCCCCUGAUGUCAGCUGAUUUAAAGAGAAAAAAUGAUAAGGAGUGGAAACAGAAUCUGUCGCCAAAAGAGAUGAAAGGUCAUGGGCAUCCAACAGAGCAUACUGGAGAACAACAGAACGAGGAAGGGUUUAAGUGUUUAUAAUUCUACAUGGCAUGGGCCUCCAAAUCACCAUCCUAUCUAAGCCCAUAACAGAAUGGGGUGGAGGGUACAAGCAUGGCUGAAGGCACUGAGAGCUACAGGGCAG
rnacentral:lncRNA from 13 species